rnacentral:lncRNA from 1 species
UCACUCACCCUCACCCUCUCUUCUCCCACUACUGAUACAUUCUUGCUUUCCCUUAUAAACAUACUCUACAUAUUGUUCUUAAUCCUUAAUCUCAACAUACUGUUUUCUCUCUCUAAAUUACUGUUUUCUCUCUCUAAUUUUCUUUCUACAUAUUGUUUUCUAUCUACAUACAGUUUUCUCUCUCUAAAUUAUUGUUUUUCUCUCUACAUGCAGUUUUUUCUCUCUAAAUUAUUGUUUUUCUCUCUACAUGCAGUUUUUUCUCUCUACAUAUAAUUUUCUCUCUACAAACUGUUCUCUCUCUCUAAAUUAUUGGUCUCUCUAAAUUAC